rnacentral:snRNA from 1 species
AGCCGCACGGUGAGUACAGAGCGAACUAUUCUUUCGCCUUUUACUAAAGAAUACUGUGUUCUCGCCGCUGACAGUGGCAUACGCCUAUUUUUAGAGGGUUUUUUCCACCCAACCA